AGAGUUUGCUUCUGGCUCAGGAUGAACGCUGGCGGCGCGCCUAACACAUGCAAGUCGAACGGCACCUAUCUUCGGAUAGAAGCGAGUGGCGAACGGCUGAGUAACACGUGGAGAACCUGCCCCCUCCCCCGGGAUAGCCGCCCGAAAGGACGGGUAAUACCGGAUACCCCGGGGUGCCGCAUGGCACCCCGGCUAAAGCCCCGACGGGAGGGGAUGGCUCCGCGGCCCAUCAGGUAGACGGCGGGGUGACGGCCCACCGUGCCGACAACGGGUAGCCGGGUUGAGAGACCGACCGGCCAGAUUGGGACUGAGACACGGCCCAGACUCCUACGGGAGGCAGCAGUGGGGAAUCUUGCGCAAUGGGGGGAACCCUGACGCAGCGACGCCGCGUGCGGGACGGAGGCCUUCGGGUCGUAAACCGCUUUCAGCAGGGAAGAGUCAAGACUGUACCUGCAGAAGAAGCCCCGGCUAACUACGUGCCAGCAGCCGCGGUAAUACGUAGGGGGCGAGCGUUAUCCGGAUUCAUUGGGCGUAAAGCGCGCGCAGGCGGCCCGGCAGGCCGGGGGUCGAAGCGGGGGGCUCAACCCCCCGAAGCCCCCGGAACCUCCGCGGCUCGGGUCCGGUAGGGGAGGGUGGAACACCCGGUGUAGCGGUGGAAUGCGCAGAUAUCGGGUGGAACACCGGUGGCGAAGGCGGCCCUCUGGGCCGAGACCGACGCUGAGGCGCGAAAGCUGGGGGAGCGAACAGGAUUAGAUACCCUGGUAGUCCCAGCCGUAA
rnacentral:rRNA from 1 species